GACGAGCAUCACAAACGUUAUUCGGAAUUACUGGGCGUAAAGCGCGUGUAGGCGGCAGGGCAAGUCGGAUGUGAAAUCCCGUGGCUCAACCACGGAAGUGCACCCGAAACUGCCCAGCUAGAGUCUCGGAGAGGAAGGUGGAAUGCUUGGUGUAGAGGUGAAAUUCGUAGAUAUCAAGCGGAACACCGGUGGCGAAGGCGGCCUUCUGGACGAUGACUGACGCUGAGACGCGAAAGCGUGGGGAGCAAACAGG
rnacentral:rRNA from 1 species